rnacentral:lncRNA from 1 species
UUUCUUCUCUUUUAGCCCAUUCAUUUUGUGGUCUUGAUUUUGGCCCAAACAAUUCAAGUUACAUUCAUCCAUAUUUCCAAAACGCGGUUUCAUGCCGUUUCUAACAUGCCACUUGCCCGACUUAUGUUGUUUUUUCGGGUCGACCUGCUUCGAAUCACCAACGGAUUUCUUCUGCCCUACCCACAACAUACUAUUCUCCACAUUUUGCAGCGCUGCCACAUAAGUUCAAGCACCAUCGAAUUCCAUCGAAAUGUUGAUUGGGGUAUUACAAUAUGGGUAGUGAAAAGAAGCUUUCCACGGGCGAUUCUUCUGAAUCAUAUUCUUCUUGGAUAGCUCCCCAUUGUUCCUUUCGCGUUCAGGCACACUAUUAGAAAAUUUAACUGGUUUAUCCACUAAUUCAAAGGCUGCCACCAUCAAUUUCCACCAUCCUCUCCCCUACAUUCCCCCUAGAAAGAAGAUUCUCUUUGCUCAACGAUCUCUUUGUAUCGUUAACACCAAGUACUCCCCUCUUCUAUUAGAGCCAAAAGCCAGCCAUAACUCGUAGUUCUUUUUCACCAAGUGUUUAGCCCAAGUACCCGGUCUCCUUCUCCACCAAAAAUCAUCUAUUGCAUCAAGGAACCAUUCAUAUUCGUCUUUGUCUAAGUAAAUUGAUUUUCGGAACCCACGUCCAUUUCCGGUAAUUCAUAGGCCAUCAGUUUUCUUUCCAUCACAAUAUAAAUCGUAAGAUUUAUUCUCAAUAGCAAGAAAUCUUCGUCUAUACGAGCUCAUGGAAAGCUUGGCCGACCAGGGUACGAUGUCGGAAAAAAGGUUAGAGAGAAAACGAGAAAUGCAGUAUCUGGAGCAAUCUAGAGAAACUCCAUGCUCAGACUAGGGGAAGCACCCCCUUAGUGUCAUAUGCAUAAUACAAGUUUUUAUUUUUUUUAAAAAGACUAUUUAGAAUUCUAUUAUUAGUUUAUUAUGAUUUUCGUAACUUUAGAAUUUCUUUAUUCUUUUUAGUAUUCAAUUUUUGUAUUCCUCGUCCUAUCAGUAUUAAAAUUUCUUAGUCUAAUUUUUUUUAGAAAGGUUAGUUAGAAACUAAUAUAAAUACCUUUCAGGAUUCUAGAUUCGCGUAAUAGUCUCUUAGGCCUGCCGUUGGGGCUUCAAGGUGUCAUUAGGUGAUGCGGGAUAAUAAAUUGGCUUAUUAUGUCGAAUGCGUUGAAGGUUAUUUCCCUCUUUAAGUUCUCCUGAAUAUUAGGGCUAAGGGGACUUGGUGAUUACUUGUUUGUAUGGCUUCAAUUCUCCCUUGGUUCCAUACUAUUUAUGGGAGGAGCUUUCGUAUAUGUGUGGUUUAUAUAGCCCUUCUUGGUGCAUUGUGGAGAUUUUAAUGCCUACAGGCAUCUGUCUACGAUGUUGGACGAUAAGAGGGUGACAGCAACAAUGAGGAAUUCCAAUAAUCUCUUCCAUAGCUGAGCCAAAACCUGAUAUAUGCUGCCAGAAAAUUUUUAGUUAGUUAAGUUAGUAGGUUACCUAACAUGUAGUUCUUUCUGUCUUUAAUGUUGGUUAGAGGUUUUGGGAGGAAUAGGAAAGAGCUUUAGGAACAAGA